CAACCUAACCUAUGGACGGGAAUAACCUCGGGAAACUGAGAAUAAUGCCCGAUAGAACACUAUAUCUGAAAUGGUUUGUGUUCCAAAUGAUUUAUCGCCGUAGGAUGGGACUGCGGCCUAUCAGUUUGGUGGUGAGGUAAUGGCCCACCAAGACUAUUACAGGUACGGGCUCUGAGAGGAGUAGCCCGGAGAUGGGUACUGAGACACGGACCCAGGCCCUAUGGGGCGCAGCAGGCGAGAAAACUUUGCAAUGUGCGAAAGCACGACAAGGUUAAUCCGAGUGGUUUGUGCUAAACGAACCUUUUGUCGGUCCUAGAAACACCGAUGAAUAAGGGGUGGGCAAGUUCUGGUGUCAGCCGCCGCGGUAAAACCAGCACCUCAAGUGGUCAGGAUGAUUAUUGGGCCUAAAGCAUCCGUAGCCGGCGCUGUAAGUUUUCGGUUAAAUCUGUACGCUCAACGUACAGGCUGCCGGGAAUACUGCAGCGCUAGGGAGUGGGAGAGGUAGACGGUACUCGGUAGGAAGGGGUAAAAUCCUUUGAUCUAUUGAUGACCACCUGUGGCGAAGGCGGUCUACCAGAACACGUCCGACGGUGAGGGAUGAAAGCUGGGGGAGCAAACCGGAUUAGAUACCCGGGUAGUCCCAGCUGUAAACUAUGCAAACUCAGUGAUGCAUUGGCUUGUGGCCAAUGCAGUGCUGCAGGGAAGCCGUUAAGUUUGCCGCCUGGGAAGUACGUACGCAAGUAUGAAACUUAAAGGAAUUGGCGGGGGAGCACCACAAGGGGUGAAGCCUGCGGUUCAAUUGGAGUCAACGCCGGA
rnacentral:rRNA from 1 species